UCUCAGACUUCUCUCUGGUCGUACCGUCUCGCAAUGGUUAUCCCCCCGAAACUCUACGCUCUGUCUCUAUAUUCUUAUGUCUAUGAUUUAAUUCCUUUGGUCGUCAUGGCAACGCGUCUGUCAACAUUAAGAUUAAUAUCAAUUAAUAUCAACUGCAGUUAGUAUUGGAUAACUAGAAAUUUGUGAAUUACCGAGGAUUGAAUUUUGGUGUAUUGAUAAUCAUUGACUGAUUGAAUGAUAAUCAUUGAGUAAAAACUACAUAUAAUAUAACGAUAAUAACAAAAGUUAGACGAGUGUCAUAUGGAUGGAACCUCGAAUUUUCCAGUAACCAGUUAUGAUAACAAGAAAAUUUAAAGUA